UACGUAGGGUGCGAGCGUUGUCCGGAUUUAUUGGGCGUAAAGAGCUCGUAGGCGGUUUGUCGCGUCGGCCGUGAAAUCUCCACGCUUAACGUGGAGCGUGCGGUCGAUACGGGCAGACUUGAGUUCGGUAGGGGAGACUGGAAUUCCUGGUGUAGCGGUGAAAUGCGCAGAUAUCAGGAAGAACACCCGUGGCGGAAGGCGGCUCUCUGGGACGGUACUGACGCUGAGACGCGAAAGCGUGGGGAGCGAACAGG
rnacentral:rRNA from 1 species